GAUGAACGCUGGCGGCGUGCCUAAUACAUGCAAGUCGAGCGAACAGACGAGGAGCUUGCUCCUCUGACGUUAGCGGCGGACGGGUGAGUAACACGUGGAUAACCUACCUAUAAGACUGGGAUAACUUCGGGAAACCGGAGCUAAUACCGGAUAAUAUAUUGAACCGCAUGGUUCAAUAGUGAAAGACGGUUUUGCUGUCACUUAUAGAUGGAUCCGCGCCGCAUUAGCUAGUUGGUAAGGUAACGGCCUACCAAGGCAACGAUGCGUAGCCGACCUGAGAGGGUGGUCGGCCACCCUGGAACUGGGACACGGUCCAGGCUCCUACGGGAGGCAGCAGUAGGGUAUCUUCCGCAAUGGGCGAAAGCCUGACGGAGCAACGCCGCGUGAGUGAUGAAGGUCCUCGGAUCGUAAAACUCUGUUAUUAGGGAAGAACAAAUGUGUAAGUAACUAAGCACGUCUUGACGGUAACUAAUCAGAAAGCCACGGCUAACUACGUG
rnacentral:rRNA from 1 species